rnacentral:rRNA from 1 species
GACGAACGCUGGCGGCGUGCUUAACACAUGCAAGUCGAGCAGUAAGGCCCUUUCGGGGGUACACGAGCGGCGAACGGGUGAGUAACACGUGGGUGACCUGCCCUCAGCUCUGGGAUAAGCCUGGGAAACCGGGUCUAAUACUGGAUAUGACUCCAUGACGCAUGUUGGUGGGGUGGAAAGCCUUGUGCGGCUGAGGAUCGGGCCCGCGGCCUAUCAGUCUUGUUGGGUGGGGNGAUGGCCUACCAAGGCGACGACGGGUAGCCGGCCUGAGAGGGCGACCGGCCACAC